rnacentral:rRNA from 1 species
UGGGGAAUAUUGUACAAUGGGCGAAAGCCUGAUCCAGCCAUGCCGCGUGUGUGAAGAAGGCCUUUUGGUUGUAAAGCACUUUAAGCGAGGAGGAGGCUACUUGGAUUAAUACUCUAGGAUAGUGGACGUUACUCGCAGAAUAAGCACCGGCUAACUCUGUGCCAGCAGCCGCGGUAAUACAGAGGGUGCGAGCGUUAAUCGGAUUUACUGGGCGUAAAGCGUGCGUAGGCGGCUUCUUAAGUCGGAUGUGAAAUCCCUGAGCUUAACUUAGGAAUUGCAUUCGAUACUGGGAAGCUAGAGUAUGGGAGAGGAUGGUAGAAUUCCAGGUGUAGCGGUGAAAUGCGUAGAGAUCUGGAGGAAUACCGAUGGCGAAGGCAGCCAUCUGGCCUAAUACUGACGCUGAGGUACGAAAGCAUGGGGAGCAAACAGG